AACCUGAGCCCUAGCUCCUUUUCGUCGUGCUUGUCGUUUUUGCUGCAAUGAUUAGGUUUGCCGUCGGAUGAUUAAGCCAUUGUCGUUUGUCUUAACUGAGAUACUCAUCAGCUCUUUUAAGUUCUAGGAAAACGGAGAUUAGAAGCCCGAGAGAAUUAUGUGCUCUGAUGUGUCCAAUUAUGGUGUAUUGCUGAACUACUAAGGUAAAAAUGCACAGACGAAUUUGUUUUCGUGUAAAAAGGCUAAAAAUUGUGCAAGAAAUUCUGCACGUACAAGCAUUGUGGUUGUUGAACUUAUUGAUUACUUAGAUUGAGGAUUUGAACAAUAAGGAGAUCAUGUACACGAAAACCAAAAUUUGAGAUGAGAAUGUCUUUUGUUGUCUGCACCACGAGUAUAAGCCGGUGGAAUGAGUGAAGCAAUACUGGAGCAGUCAAGGAUUUAAAGGAAUUACCGAACAGUUGAAAAAUAGUUGGCAAUAUGAUGUUGGACAACGAGUCUCACCACACAAACUAAACAUUAGGCUUUGCACUCGAAAUUUCCUUAGCAUCACACUAGAGGGUUUCAUAAGCAUCGCACGUAAAGAAUCAUUGCAUCAGAUAAUCCUAAUUCCUAAAGCUAAAGCUUGCAAAAUUCAGAUUACCAUCAACUCUACUGAAAACAAAGAAUUUCAUCAUAUAAAUAGGCUCUCUAAAAGUUCUACUGAAAUAGGAUAUCUG